rnacentral:rRNA from 1 species
UUGGAGGGCAAGUCUGGUGCCAGCAGCCGCGGUAAUUCCAGCUCCAAUAGCGUAUAUUAAAGUUGUUGCAGUUAAAAAGCUCGUAGUUGAGUUUCGGGGUUAGUAGGUUGGUCAUGCCACUGGUAUGUACUGGUCUCACUGAUUCCUCCUUCCUGAUGAGCCGUAAUGCCAUUAAUUUGGUGUCGCGAGGAGUCUGGACUGUUACUUUGAAAAAAUUAGAGUGUUUAAAGCAGGCUAACGCUUGAAUACAUUAGCAUGGAAUAAUGAAAUAGGACGUUCGAUCUUAUUUUGUUGGUUUCUAGGAUUGACGUAAUGAUUAAUAGGGAUAGUUGGGGGCAUUAGUAUUCAAUUGUCAGAGGUGAAAUUCUUGGAUUUAUUGAAGACUAACUACUGCGAAAGCAUUUGCCAAGGAUGUUUUCAUUAAUCAAGAACGAAAGUUAGGGGAUCGAAGACGAUCAGAUACCGUCGUAGUCUUAACCAUAAACUAUGCCGACUAGGGAUCGGACGAAGUUAAUAUUAUAAUGACGCGUUCGGCGCCUUACGGGAAAC